rnacentral:rRNA from 1 species
UACGUAGGUGACAAGCGUUGUCCGGAUUUAUUGGGCGUAAAGCGAGCGCAGGCGGUCUUUUAAGUCUGAUGCGAAAGCCCACGGCUCAACCGUGGAGGGGCAUUGGAAACUGGAAGACUUGAAUACAGAAGAGGAAAGUGGAAUUCCAUGUGUAGCGGUGAAAUGCGUAGAUAUAUGGAGGAACACCAGUGGCGAAGGCGACUUUCUGGUCUGUAAUUGACGCUGAGGUUCGAAAGCGUGGGGAGCGAACAGG